UGAUAAUGCUGGGAUGUGAUGGGGAGCGAAAUUUAGUAGCGAAGUAGCUGAUUUCACACUGUCAAGAAAAGUCUCUAUCGAGGUUAAAGGUACCCGUACCGCAAACCGACACAGGUGGGUGAGGAGAGUAUCCUAAGGCCAGCGAGAGAACUGUUGUUAAGGAACUCGGCAAAAUGACCCCGUAACUUAGGGAUAAGGGGUGCCACCAUCAGGUGGCCGCAGAGAAUAGGCCCAAGCGACUGUUUACCAAAAACAUAGGUUUCUGCUAAGUCGCAAGACGAUGUAUAGGAGCUGACGCCUGCCCGGUGCUGGAAGGUUAAGGGGAUCUGUUAGAGCAAUCGAAGCAGUGAACUUAAGCCCCAGUAAACGGCGGCCGUAACUAUAACGGUCCUAAGGUAGCGAAAUUCCUUGUCGGGUAAGUUCCGACCCGCACGAAAGGCGUAACGAUUUGGGCACUGUCUCAACAACAGACUCGGUGAAAUUGUAAUUCCGGUGAAGAUGCCGGAUACCUGCGACAGGACGGAAAGACCCCAUGGAGCUUUACUGUAGCUUGACAUUGGGUCUUGGUACUACAUGUACAGGAUAGGUGGGAGGCUUUGAAACCAGGACGCCAGUUUUGGCGGAGCCAUCCUUGGGAUACCACCCUUGUAGUACUGGGACUCUAACCAUAGGCCAUGAAUCUGGUCUUGGGACACUGUCAGGUGGGCAGUUUGACUGGGGCGGUCGCCUCCCAAAAGGUAACGGAGGCGCUCAAAGGUUCUCUCAGUACGGUCGGAAAUCGUACGUAGAGUGUAAAGGCAAAAGAGAGCUUGAUUGCAAGACAUACAGGUCGAGCAAGGAUGAAAAUCGGACUUAGUGAUCCGGUGGUUCUGCGUGGAAGGGCCAUCGCUCAACGGAUAAAAGCUACCCUGGGGAUAACAGGCUUAUCUCCCCCAAGAGUCCACAUCGACGGGGAGGUUUGGCACCUCGAUGUCGGCUCAUCACAUCCUGGGGCUGUAGUAGGUCCCAAGGGUUGGGCUGUUCGCCCAUUAAAGUGGUACGCGAGCUGGGUUCAGAACGUCGUGAGACAGUUCGGUCCCUAUCCGUCGCAGGCGUAGGAAAUUUGAGAAGACCUGUCCUUAGUACGAGAGGACCGGGAUGGACG
rnacentral:rRNA from 1 species